UACGGGGGGGGCAAGCGUUGUUCGGAAUUACUGGGCGUAAAGGGUUUGUAGGUGGCUUGCUAAGUCAGACGUGAAAUCCCUCAGCUUAACUGGGGAACUGCGUCUGAUACUGGUGAGCUUGAGUGCAGGAGAGGAACGCGGAAUUCCAGGUGUAGCGGUGAAAUGCGCAGAUAUCAGGAAGAACACCUAUGGCGAAGGCAGCUCUCUGGGACGGUACUGACGCUGAGACGCGAAAGCGUGGGGAGCGAACAGG
rnacentral:rRNA from 1 species